AUACGGAGGGGGCUAGCGUUGUUCGGAAUCACUGGGCGUAAAGCGCACGUAGGCUGACUGGUCAGUUGAGGGUGAAAUCCCAAGGCUCAACCUUGGAACGGCCCUCAAUACUACCAGUCUCGAGUCCGGGAGAGGUGAGUGGAAUUCCUAGUGUAGAGGUGAAAUUCGUAGAUAUUAGGAAGAACACCAGUGGCGAAGGCGGCUCACUGGCCCGGUACUGACGCUGAGGUGCGAAAGCGUGGGGAGCAAACAGGAUUAGAAACCCCGGUAGUCC
rnacentral:rRNA from 1 species